UACGGAGGGUGCAAGCGUUAUCCGGAUUCACUGGGUUUAAAGGGUGCGUAGGCGGGCAGGUAAGUCCGUGGUGAAAUCUCUGAGCUUAACUCAGAAACUGCCAUGGAUACUAUUUGUCUUGAAUAUUGUGGAGGUAAGCGGAAUAUGUCAUGUAGCGGUGAAAUGCUUAGAUAUGACAUAGAACACCAAUUGCGAAGGCAGCUUACUACACAGUUAUUGACGCUGAGGCACGAAAGCGUGGGGAUCAAAACAGG
rnacentral:rRNA from 1 species